UCCUCCUAAUUAGCAUCCGAAUAUCCGAUGUGACUCGGACUAAACUUUAGCUCCAGAUCCAAACACCCCCUUAGUUCCAUAGUAGUUCUUUCAGAUUGGUUUCCUUGGACUUACUGACUUUGCAAAGGCUCCUACUACAUGGUCCGAGAAGAAUCUGUGCUUUGGAUUCUUCUUGAAUCUAGCCAGUCCAAACUGGCGCAGGCAUGGCUGUACUGAAACCUUGAGACUUGGGCACUGCACAGCAGCAACACUGAAUGCCAGUCAAAAUGUUAGGAAACUGAACUUGUAACUCAAUGCAGGGUCAAGAUGGUAGCCGUCUGGUCUGGAACACAUUGAAUCCAAUCCAAAAUGGACCGGGCCCCAAAAUAUUAAAUUGGGUCCAGUUCCUCAUGCAAGCCUGAUGCCAAUGCAUGGAAACCCUUGGUCAUGCAUGCCUCUCAUGAGCCCACAUGCAGGGAGACAUCCAGUGUACUUACUUCCUGAUUCCAUCCAUGGUCCAAGAACUUGUGCUUUGGAUCCUGCAUAAGGGCAGUAGGGCCCCGUCCUUUCAAAACAAAACAAAAAAAAAUCCCCAAGUCCAUGGCACCUGCACAGUGCUGCUGCACUCCAACCUAGUGACAUGGGCGUUGAGCAGUGAGCUAGCGGCGUUACUGAAUGCAGGUCAAUGUGUUAGAGGAGUCUGCGUCAGGAGCGCAUUGCGGUGUCGGCAAGGAAUUGGUGCCCUGGAACACCAUAUAUCGAUUCCAAUCCACAAAAAUGGACCACUUGUUGUUACAUAUCCUAUCAUGGUGAAUUGGUGACGGUGACGAGUUGCCCUGCAGCUUCAUUCAGGUCGGCAUACCCGCAGAGGUGGCAGAGUUCCUAAAAAAAAAAGGGAGCUGCAAUUUUCUGGGGCCCAAAGCUGUGCAUGCCAUAGCAGAGGCCCAGUGCUGUACUAUUUUCUGCCAUGGGCCUGACAAGACUUGCUAUUGAGGUUUUCAUGGAAAAUAAAUGGUGCUCUAGCUAGAAUUUGAAGUGCAGAGCCAGGCUUGUUGUGCCACUGCAAGAAAAAGAUGAAUCCAUCACCUUGCAAUCUCUAUCAAGUACUGUAACAUCACGAUCUCCCUACCUGAAAGGCUGUAAAACAAAACAAGCAUAGUUUAUAUGUAGAUACCACUGUACGAAAUUCAGAACAGUUUGAUGUUACUCCUAUAGUCUAA